rnacentral:rRNA from 1 species
AUGGCCAUUGCCGGCAGUGGGAGGGGCAAGGCGAAGCCCGCGGCCAGCGCCAAGUCCGUGUCCCGGUCGUCCAAGGCCGGCCUGCAGUUCCCCGUCGGCCGCGUCGCCCGGUACCUCAAGGUCGGCAAGUACGCGCAGCGCGUCGGCGCCGGCGCCCCCGUCUACCUCGCCGCCGUCCUCGAGUACCUCGCCGCAGAGGUACGCGUGCCCUCCCCGGCUGCUCCUUUCCCCAUGUCCUGUCACUCUGGAUCUCACCGCUUCUUUCUUUCUCUUCUGAUUCAGACCCUGGAGCUCGCCGGGAACGCGGCGCGGGACAACAAGAAGAACCGGAUCGUGCCGCGCCACAUCCAGCUGGCGGUGCGCAACGACGAGGAGCUGAGCCGGCUGCUGGGCUCGGUCACCAUCGCCGCCGGCGGGGUGCUGCCCAGCAUCCACACCACGCUGCUCCCCAAGAAGGCCGGCAAGGGCAAGGGCGACAUCGGCUCUGCUUCUCAGGAGUUCUAG